rnacentral:tRNA from 1 species
GGCAAUGUAGCUCAGCUGGUUAGAGCACAGCAUUCAUAAUGCUGGGGUCGGUGGUUCAAGUCCACCCAUUUCUACCA